rnacentral:rRNA from 1 species
AACCAGAGCCAUAUCUCCCUGUACUUCUCACGUGGUGCGCCCAAAGAAGCUAAGCAGGGUUGAGCCUGGCCAGUACCGGGAUUGGAGACCUUUUGGGGAAAACUAAGGUUGCUGCUC